rnacentral:tmRNA from 1 species
GGGGGCGAAUUAGAUUCGACGUGGGUCAUGUUCGCCUCGAUGUUGCGAGUCGAGGAACCAGGGUUGGCCUCGUAAAACUCUCCCUGGAAAACCAUAAUUGCGGACCAUGAGUUCGCCCUUGCGGCCUAGCUAAAACUAGGACCAUGAGGUAUCGGCCCGGAUGCCUGCGUCCGGAUCACCGGUAUCAAACAGCAGGCUCGCUACUCGGAUAGGACCUUUGAUUCGAGAGGACAUCUAAGGAAGGUAUGGCGCCGGUGACGUAUCCCACGGAUUGACCGACCCGGCGCCGAGAUUAGACUCCGAUGGGAACACUCGUAGACGCAUCGAGGCAACGUCCGCGGACGCCGGGGCAGUACCGGCCGCCUCCACUA